rnacentral:lncRNA from 12 species
AGAGAGGUACUGUUAAUUUUUCAUCUAAUGUUUCUGAUUUUUCUUGCAGUUUUAAAAAUCUACAAAUAAAAAAUUACCCAAACAACUUAUAGAACCUGAUGGCAGAUCACUGUGGCUUUUUGAGUCCUUCUUCAAGCAAAAAUAACUUUUUAGCAUAAUUUAGGAAUGUGAGGGUCGUAGUUCCCAGCUCUGACCUCUACUCAGAAACGGAUAGAGAAAUUGUAAAAACAACAACAACUAACAAACAGAUGGAUAGAAGCAUACAAGUGGAGUGCCUCAAGUUGUGGAGAAAAAUAAAUCCUCAAAGGGAUUUGCACUGUAUAAGAAACAGGAAGAUACAACAAGGAAUUUCGAUAAGCAGAAAACUGUUUUGAAACAUUCAACUAAUAGAAGCAGAAAGGGAAGAGUGCAGGCCAAACCCUGAACAA